GAUGAACGCUGGCGGCGUGCCUAAUACAUGCAAGUCGAGCGAACAGACGAGGAGCUUGCUCCUUUGACGUUAGCGGCGGACGGGUGAGUAACACGUGGAUAACCUACCUAUAAGACUGGGAUAACUUCGGGAAACCGGAGCUAAUACCGGAUAACAUGUUGAACCGCAUGGUUCAACAGUGAAAGACGGUCUUGCUGUCACUUAUAGAUGGAUCCGCGCCGCAUUAGCUAGUUGGUAAGGUAACGGCUUACCAAGGCAACGAUGCGUAGCCGACCUGAGAGGGUGAUCGGCCACACUGGAACUGAGACACGGUCCAGACUCCUACGGGAGGCAGCAGUAGGGAAUCUUCCGCAAUGCGCGAAAGCCUGACGGAGCAACGCCGCGUGAGUGAAGAAGGUCUUCGGAUCGUAAAACUCUGUUAUUAGGGAAGAACAAAUGUGUAAGUAACUAUGCACGUCUUGACGGUACCUAAUCAGAAAGCCACGGCUAACUACGUG
rnacentral:rRNA from 1 species